CCCAAACCUUUCCUAAUUAGGCAAAAGAAUAAACAGGAGGAGAAUGGAGAGCAAGAUGGAAGGAAGACCAUGUACACCAUUCUAUAUAGAAGCACAGGAAUUACUCCACAAGCAAAAGCACUAAGGACUGCUAAGGUUUUACAAGUGGUUGCCUUCCUUCAUACCUGCUUACCAGUUACGCCAGGAUUGAAAAUAGCGGAUUCCUUCUUUUGACAAAUUUCAUUAUAGAAAAGGAUGUUUCCCUGGUCACCAUCAGUCCUUCCAGGGACAAUACCAACAGAGAAAGGUCGACAGCCAAAUGAGAGUAACAUCAAAUCUGCUUAAAAGAGGAAAGUUCUCUGUCAUAUCUGAACAUCAAGGAAAGGGCACUCAAAUCUACUGAUCUCAACGAUGGAUACGGCAUUGCCAAAGGAUCACAAUUAGGUUUUGGACAAGCUGGCUAAUAACUAAUGAAUGAUAAGCGGUGUCUCCAACUCGCUCUUUCUCACAGGACACUCGGCUGCAAUUAUCCCAACAGUCCUCUCAUCCCGGCUUUGGGCGCUGAUCCUGCCUUUUUCCGGAGGCUCCAGGAGACCCAGACUUUCUCAGCCCCGGCUCCCCGCACUCGACCCACUCGAGGGACACGCGCCCCUCUGGAGCAGUCUCCCUGACCCAGUGCUUGGCUCUCCCCGCAUCCCAAAGACCCCUAGGCAGUGACAGCCGGUAGACUGCAAGCUCAACCCUUCCCGCCACGCCUGCUCUCCCUCUCAGACUGUCCCAGGGUGUUUGCCAGGAGCGAGAACGUGCUGUACCUCAGC